GGGCGUAUAGCUCAGGGGGAGAGCACUACGUUGACAUCGUAGGGGUCAUAGGUUCAAAUCCUAUUACGCCCACCA
rnacentral:tRNA from 1 species